UACAGAGGUGGCAAGCGUUGUUCGGAAUCACUGGGCGUAAAGGGCGCGUAGGUGGCGACCCAAGUCUGUGGUGAAAGCUCGCCGCUUAACGGCGAGUCGGCCACGGAUACUGGGUGGCUCGAGCACUGUAGGGGCAGAUGGAAUUCCGGGUGUAGCGGUGGAAUGCGUAGAGAUCCGGAAGAACACCGGUGGCGAAGGCGGUCUGCUGGGCAGUAGCUGACACUGAGGCGCGACAGCGUGGGGAGCAAACAGG
rnacentral:rRNA from 1 species